rnacentral:misc_RNA from 1 species
GGAAGUAAAAGUCGUAACAAGGUUUCCGUAGGUGAACCUGCGGAAGGAUCAUUAUCGAAUGUAAACAAUGGGAGAUGCUGCUGGCCAUUCAUUUGGUAUUUGUGCACUCUCCCAGCAUUCAAAUCCACCUGUGCACAUUGAGUAGGCAUGGAUAUUCAUAUCUGUUGCCUAUGCUUUUAUUAUACACACUCAUGCUGUGAAAGAUUGUAUAAAUGGAUAAUAUAAAGUUUUUACAACUUUCAACAAUGGAUCUCUUGGUUCUCGCAUCGAUGAAGAACGCAGCGAAUUGCGAUAUGUAAUGUGAAUUGCAGAAUUCAGUGAAUCAUCGAAUCUUUGAACGCAUCUUGCGCCCUUUGGUUACUCCGAAGGGCAUGCCUGUUUGAGAGUCAUUAUUAUUCUCAACUUUAGAGUUUGUUAUGAACUUUGAAGCUUGGAUAUGGGGGACAUUUGCUGGCAUUUGUUAUGUUAGCUCCCCUCAAAUGCAUUAGCAGAACUGUCAAGGGAUGUCUUGGCUCUGGUUUGAUAAGUGAAAUAUCUAUGCCGUUGCUGAGAGCUUUCAUGGUUCAGCUUCUAACCUUUGUAUUUGAAAACUUGACCUCAAAUCAGGUAGGACUACCCGCUGAACUUAAGCAUAUCAAUAAGCGGAGGA